AUUGAACGCUGGCGGCAGGCUUAACACAUGCAAGUCGAGCGGGGGAAGGUGCUUCGGUACUGACCUUAGCGGCGGACGGGUGAGUAAUGCUUAGGAAUCUGCCUAUUAGUGGGGGACAACAUCGUGAAAGGGAUGCUAAUACCGCAUACUUCCUAGGGCAGAAAGAAGGGGAUCACUUGUGACCUUGCGCUAAUAGAUGAGCCUAAGUCGGAUUAGCUAGUUGGUGGGGUAAAGGCCUACCAAGGCGACGAUCUGUAGCGGGUCUGAGAGGAUGAUCCGCCACACUGGGACUGAGACACGGCCCAGACUCCUACGGGAGGAAGCAGUGGGGAAUAUUGGACAAUGGGGGGAACCCUGAUCCAGCCAUGCCGCGUGUGUGAAGAAGGCCUUAUGGUUGUAAAGCACUUUAAGCGAGGAGGAGGCUCUUUUGGUUAAUACCCAAGAUGAGUGGACGUUACUCGCGGAAUAAGCACCGGCUAACUCUGUGCCAGCAGCCGCCGUAACAC
rnacentral:rRNA from 1 species